CCUUGAAGGGUGGUAAACGGCAGAGAAGGAGUCAUUCCAACAAUUUUUCACAGUCUCUUGCAGUUGUGCCAUAGGGACGCCAGCAAUCUUUUCCACAUAAUCGGGAGUAUACUUAUCCACGACCUUACGAAGGGCAACUAUCCCCACCACAUGAUUCGAGACAAACUCUUCGUCGAUCCAGUCAUUUCCAAACUGUAGCUGCUGUGGGCCAUUGAGCAAGAGCAAGAUUUGUUCCAUUAUUCGCUGCUACGUGCCUUGUUGCCCCCUGUUGCCGUUUCUGAUUUUCUAGGGGGGAAAAGAAGGGUUCCGAACCCAGGACCACUAUUCCCACCUUGCACCCCAAUGAAUAUUAUACCCAAUCCACAUCCAUUGCUGUGAACAUUGCAAUCAGCCGGUGAGCAACAAAGGAUAAUAAAACCAGAAUAGCUGGGUCAAUCGAUUCCAUACCUGC
rnacentral:sRNA from 2 species